GAGAUCAUUUACAUAUAUCAGAAACAAGAUAGGACCGAGUACAGAGCCCUGUGGGAAUCCACUGGUGACUUCACGCCAAUCUGAGGUCUCGCCCCUCACCGUAACUCUCUGCUUCCUAUUGCUUAGUACAAAUGCCAAACAAAAUGCCAGAAUAAGGUUACAGUACUUGUUUCUACCACUUUACAGAAUUCUUCCAGCAAAGGUGGCUUGCACACUGAAUUAAUUGUUGAUCCAUUUAUCUGUGAUGUUAUUCAUAGUUACUGUAUCUGUUAAUCUGCAGUUUGGCAUUGUGUACCACCUCCUAUAACUCUCUGCUCUCUUUGUAAAUAAAAUACUGUAUUUUGAAUUGUUUAUAUGCAACACUCAGGAAUAUGAAUGCAUUAUAGGUAUUCAAUAAAUUUAAAUGUAGA